UUUUAGCCCUGAUGGAAGCGGAAAUCCUUUCUAGUCCUGAACUUGUUUCAGGAUCCUGAAACAAGUUCAGGACUAGAAAGAUUGAAGCGGACAGCAGGAAAUAGC
rnacentral:sRNA from 1 species